rnacentral:rRNA from 1 species
GCCAGCAGUCAUAUCACCCUGUAACUCACAACUGGCUACCCACUGAAGCUAAGCAGCGUUGAGCCUGGUCAGUACCUGGAUGAGAGACCUGGGAAGCUAUGGUUGCUGCUGGAA